UAACAAGGAUUCCCCUAGUAACGGCGAGUGAACCGGGAAGAGCUCAAAUUUGAAAUCUGGCGUGCUCAGUGCGUCCGAGUUGUAAUCUAUAGAGUCGUUUUCCGUGCCGGACUGUGUCCAAGUCCCUUGGAACAGGGUAUCAAAGAGGGUGAUAAUCCCGUACUUGACACAAUGACCGGUGCUCUGUGAUACGUCUUCUACGAGUCGAGUUGUUUGGGAAUGCAGCUCAAAAUGGGUGGUGAGUUCCAUCUAAAGCUAAAUAUUGGCGAGAGACCGAUAGCGAACAAGUACCGUGAGGGAAAGAUGAAAAGCACUUUGGAAAGAGAGUUAAACAGUACGUGAAAUUGUUAAAAGGGAAACGAUUGAAGUCAGUCGUGACUGAGAGGCUCAGCCGGUUCUGCCGGUGUAUUCCCCUCAGUCGGGUCAACAUCAGUUUUGUUCGGUGGAUAAGGGCAGUUGGAAGGUGGCACCCUCGGGUGUGUUAUAGCCAGCUGUCGCAUACAUCGGAUGAGACUGAGGAAUGCAGCUCGCCUUUAUGGCCGGGGUUCGCCCACGUUCGAGCUUAGGAUGUUGACAUAAUGGCUUUAAACGACCCGUCGUGA
rnacentral:rRNA from 1 species